rnacentral:rRNA from 1 species
UUGAACGCUGGCGGCAUGCCUUACACAUGCAAGUCGAACGGCAUCGCGGGAAAGCUUGCUUUCCUGGCGGCGAGUGGCGAACGGGUGAGUAACACAUCGGAACGUACCGGCUAGUGGGGGAUAACCCGUCGAAAGACGGGCUAAUACCGCAUACGCUCUUCGGAGGAAAGCAGGGGACCUUUGGGCCUUGCGCUAGCCGAGCGGCCGAUGUCCGAUUAGCUAGUUGGUGGGGUAAAGGCCUACCAAGGCGACGAUCGGUAGCGGGUCUGAGAGGACGAUCAGCCACACUGGGACUGAGACACGGCCCAGACUCCUACGGGAGGCAGCAGUGGGGAAUUUUGGACAAUGGGGGCAACCCUGAUCCAGCAAUGCCGCGUGGGUGAAGAAGGCCUUCGGGUUGUAAAGCCCUUUCGGCAGGGAAGAAAUCGGCGGGGCGAAUAACCCUGCUGGAUGACGGUACCUGCAGAAGAAGCACCGGCUAACUACGUG